UACGGAGGGUGCGAGCGUUGUCCGGAAUCACUGGGCGUAAAGGGCGCGUAGGCGGCAGGCCAAGCGUGCGGUGAAAGUCCGGGGCUCAACCCCGGAUCUGCCGUGCGGACUGGUUUGCUAGAGCACUGUAGAGGCGAGUGGAAUUCCGGGUGUAGCGGUGGAAUGCGUAGAGAUCCGGAAGAACACCGGUGGCGAAGGCGGCUCGCUGGGCAGUGGCUGACGCUCAUGCACGAAAGCGUGGGGAGCAAACAGG
rnacentral:rRNA from 1 species